CUGGUGUCAGACCUAGCCUGUAGACAGGAGGAUUGGAGAAAAAGUGGGGAAGGGAGGAGGAGGCGGCACUGUUCCAAGCCCUGGGCUGCUGGAAGACUCAAAGUGAACCAGGUGAAGGAGGUGUCUGGUUGGCUUGUGGGAAAAUAAAACAUUAAGCAGGAUCUGGACUGAGAGUUACAGAAAAGAGGACCUAUGAAAAUGCAACACCAUGGCAGCCAGCAGAGUGGAGUUCAGAUGGGCUCCAGGAGGCGGGGCCAGGCAGUAUGAAGAGGACUGCACCGUCCUGGAUCUGUUACUUAGCACUUCUAUGAAUCCUACAAGAACCGUUCUCAACUGCACUCACUCCG
rnacentral:lncRNA from 10 species